AGCUCCAAUAGCGUAUAUUAAAGUUGCUGCAGUUAAAAAGCUCGUAGUUGCAUUUCCGAGGCAAGGGAUUAGUCCGACCUUUGGUGGGUAUUUAAUCCUCUUGCCUCGUCCUUGAGUGGUGCUUCUUGGUAUUAAGUUAUCGAGGAGAUAGCCGCUCAUCGUUUACUGUGAGAAAAUUAGAGUGUUCAAAGCAGGCUUAUGCCGUUGAAUAUAUUAGCAUGGAAUAAUAAGAUAGGACCUCGGUACUAUUUGGGUGGUUUGAGAACCAAGGUAAUGAUGAAUAGGGACAGUUGGGGGUAUUCGUAUUCAGUUGUCAGAGGUGAAAUUCUUAGAUUUACGGAAGACGAACUACUGCGAAAGCAUUUGCCAAGGAUGUUUUCA
rnacentral:rRNA from 1 species